UACAGAGGUCUCAAGCGUUGUUCGGAUUCAUUGGGCGUAAAGGGCGCGUAGGCGGCGAGGUAAGUCGGGUGUGAAAUCUCAGAGCUCAACUCUGAAACUGCAUUCGAUACUGCCGUGCUUGAGGACUGGAGAGGAGACUGGAAUUUACGGUGUAGCGGUGAAAUGCGUAGAUAUCGUAAGGAAGACCAGUGGCGAAGGCGGCGCUCUGGGCCGGAACUGACGCUGAGGAGCGAAAGCGUGGGUAGCAAACAGG
rnacentral:rRNA from 1 species